CCCUUAGAUGUUCUGGGCCGCACGCGCGCUACACUGAUGCAUUCAACAAGCCUAGCCUUGACCGAGAGGUCCGGGUAAUCUUUGAAACUGCAUCGUGAUGGGGCUAGAUUAUUGCAAUUAUUAAUCUUCAACGAGGAAUGCCUAGUAAGCGUGAUUCAUCAAAUCGCGUUGAUUACGUCCCUGCCCUUUGUACACACCGCCCGUCGCUCCUACCGAUUGAAUGAUCCGAUGAAUACCAUGGAUUGAGAGUACGAAUAGGUUCGCUUAUUUCUGCUUCUCGAGAAGUGGAGUAAAUCUUAUCAUUUAGAGGAAGGAGAAGUCGUAACA
rnacentral:rRNA from 1 species